UUUUAUGGGCUUAACCACGGAGCCGACUAUUCUUUCGCCUUUUACUAGAGAAUACCGCGUGCUCUCCACUCAAAGCGGCAUACGCCUAUUUUUAGAAGGGUGUUCCUAGUUGAAUGCC